rnacentral:rRNA from 1 species
ACGGCUCAUUACAAUGGCCAURAUUUACUUGAUCUUGAUURUCUAAAUGGAUAACUGUGGAAAAGCUAGAGCUAAUACAUGCACUAAAGCUUUGUCCUUACGGAAAGCGCAUUUAUUAGAACAAAACCACGCGGCUUCGGCUGCUUCUUGUUGACUCAGAAUAACUAGCUGACCGCAUGGCCUUGUGCSGGCGGCGUGUCUUUCAAGCGUCCACUUUAUCAACUUGACGGGAGCAUAAUYGACUCCCGUGGUGGUGACGGAUAACGGAGGAUCAGGGUUCGACUCCGGAGAAGGGGCCUGAGAAAUGGCCACUACGUCUAAGGAUGGCAGCAGGCGCGCAAAUUACCCACUCUCGGCUCGAGGAGGUAGUGACGAGAAAUAACGAGAYYGUUCUCUUUGAGGCCGGUCAUCGGAAUGGGUACAAUUUAAACCCUUUAACGAGUAUCAAGCAGAGGGCAAGUCUGGUGCCAGCAGCCGCGGUAAUUCCAGCUCUGCAAAUACAUAGAAUUAUUGCUGCGGUUUGAAAGCUCRUAGUUGGAUUCGUAUCGRUACCYUGGAACCCUNNGGGUGUCUCUNGGGUGUUAUCGAUUUAUCGUAAUGUUCGGUUUUGAGUCCUUAACAGGAUUCUUAACAGGCAUUGCAAGUUUACUUUGAACAAAUCAGAGUGCUUCAAACAGGCGUUUUCGCUUGAAUGAUCGUGCAUGGAAUAAUAGAAAAUGAUUUCGGUUCAGUUUUAUUGGUUUUACGGACUGAGAUAAUGGUUAACAGAGACAAACGGGGGCAUUUGUAUGGUCCCGUGAGAGGUGAAAUUCUUGGACCGUGGCCAGACAAACUACAGCGAAAGCAUUUGCCAAGAAUGUUUUUAUUAAUCAAGAACGAAAGUCAGAGGUUCGAAGGCGAUCAGAUACCGCCCUAGUUCUGACCGUAAACGAUGCCAACUAGCGAUCCGCCGAUGGAAAUUAUAUUGCCUUGGUGGGGAGCUUCCCGGAAACGAAAGUCUUCCGGUUCCGGGGGAAGUAUGGUUGCAAAGCUGAAACUUAAAGGAAUUGACGGAAGGGCACCACCAGGAGUGGAGCCUGCGGCUUAAUUUGACUCAACACGGGGAAACUCACCCGGCCCGGACACUGUGAGGAUUGACAGAUUGAUAGCUUUUUCAUGAUUCAGUGGAUGGUGGUGCAUGGCCG